UACGUAGGGUGCGAGCGUUGUCCGGAAUUAUUGGGCGUAAAGGGCUCGUAGGCGGUUUGUCGCGUCGGGAGUGAAAACACCGGGCUUAACUCGGUGCUUGCUUUCGAUACGGGCAGACUAGAGGCAUGCAGAGGAGAACGGAAUUCCUGGUGUAGCGGUGAAAUGCGCAGAUAUCAGGAGGAACACCGGUGGCGAAGGCGGUUCUCUGGGCAUGUCCUGACGCUGAGGAGCGAAAGUGUGGGGAGCGAACAGG
rnacentral:rRNA from 1 species